AACGCUGCCGGCGUGCUUAUUCAUGCAAGUCGAGCGGUAAGGCCUUUCGGGGUACACGAGCGGCGAACGGGUGAGUAACACGUGGGUGAUCUGCCCUGCACUUCGGGAUAAGCCUGGGAAACUGGGUCUAAUACCGGAUAUGACCUCCUAUCGCAUGGUGGGUGGUGGAAAGAUUUAUCGGUGCAGGAUGGGCCCGCGGCCUAUCAGCUUGUUGGUGGGGUAAUGGCCUACCAAGGCGACGACGGGUAGCCGACCUGAGAGGGUGACCGGCCACACUGGGACUGAGACACGGCCCAGACUCCUACGGGAGGCAGCAGUGGGGAAUAUUGCACAAUGGGCGAAAGCCUGAUGCAGCGACGCCGCGUGAGGGAUGACGGCCUUCGGGUUGUAAACCUCUUUCAGCAGGGACGAAGCGCAAGUGACGGUACCUGCAGAAGAAGCACCGGCUAACUACGUGCCAGCAGCCGCGGUAAUACGUAGGGUGCAAGCGUUGUCCGGAAUUACUGGGCGUAAAGAGUUCGUAGGCGGUUUGUCGCGUCGUUUGUGAAAACCAGCAGCUCAACUGCUGGCUUGCAGGCGAUACGGGCAGACUUGAGUACUGCAGGGGAGACUGGAAUUCCUGGUGUAGCGGUGAAAUGCGCAGAUAUCAGGAGGAACACCGGUGGCGAAGGCGGGUCUCUGGGCAGUAACUGACGCUGAGGAACGAAAGCGUGGGUAGCGAACA
rnacentral:rRNA from 1 species